rnacentral:ribozyme from 1 species
AAGGUCUGUUGCUCUGUUAAUGGGGUAGGAUCCAAGACUCCUUUCGGGGUUACACAGGCUCUCCUACCCAACUCCUAUUCCGUCAUGUCCUCGUCGUACAGAGUAGUAACUUGCCACACCACAUAUCCAAGCUUGGGUAUACGGGGGGACGGUGGAGCAAGGCAUAACAGGCGGGA